rnacentral:rRNA from 1 species
UUCGAGUGGCGGACGGGUGAGUAACGCGUGGGUAACCUGCCUUACACAGGGGGAUAGCACCUGGAAACAGGUGCUAAUACCGCAUAAGCGCACAGGGCCGCAUGGCCCGGUGUGAAAAACUCCGGUGGUGUAAGAUGGACCCGCGUCUGAUUAGCUUGUUGGCGGGGUAGGGGCCCACCAAGGCGACGAUCAGUAGCCGGCCUGAGAGGGUGGACGGCCACAUUGGGACUGAGACACGGCCCAAACUCCUACGGAAGGCAGCAG